rnacentral:rRNA from 1 species
GACGAACGCUGGCGGCGUGCCUAAUACAUGCAAGUAGAACGCACAGUUUAUACCGUAGCUUGCUACACCAUAGACUGUGAGUUGCGAACGGGUGAGUAACGCGUAGGUAACCUGCCUGGUAGCGGGGGAUAACUAUUGGAAACGAUAGCUAAUACCGCAUAAUAUUAAUUAUUGCAUGAUAAUUAAUUGAAAGGUGCAAUUGCACCACUACCAGAUGGACCUGCGUUGUAUUAGCUAGUAGGUGAGGUAACGGCUCACCUAGGCGACGAUACAUAGCCGACCUGAGAGGGUGAUCGGCCACACUGGGACUGAGACACGGCCCAGACUCCUACGGGAGGCAGCAGGAGGGAAUCUUCGGCAAUGGACGAAAGUCUGACCGAGCAACGCCGCGUGAGUGAAGAAGGUUUUCGGAUCGUAAAGCUCGGUUGUAAGAGAAGAACGGGUGUGAGAGUGGAAAGUUCACACUGUGACGGUAUCUUACCAGAAAGGGACGGCUAACUACGUG